ensembl:snoRNA
AAGCAACACUCUGACAGAUUAUCAAAGUAGUCUGUCACAAUUUGAGUUUAUAGCAAGAAAGUCUAACCUAUUCCAACACUCUCCUUUCUGUGAGACAGGCCAUUACAUAGACUGAAACAAG